rnacentral:rRNA from 1 species
AUUGAACGCUGGCGGCGUGCUUAACACAUGCAAGUCGUGCGGUAACAGGCGUAGCAAUACGUGCUGACGAGCGGCGAACGGGUGCGUAGUACAUGGGAAUCUGCCCUUUAGUGGGGAAUAACCCGGCGAAAGCCGGGCUAAUGCCGCAUAAGAUCUUCGGAUGAAAGCGGGGGAUCGUAAGACCUCGCGCUGAUGGAUGAGCCCAUGUCGGAUUAGCAGUUGGUGAGGUAACGGCUCACCAAGGCGACGAUCCGUAGCUGGUCUGAGAGGACGGCCAGCCACACUGGGACUGAGACACGGCCCAGACUCCUACGGGAGGCAGCAGUGGGGAAUAUUGGACAAUGGGCGAAAGCCUGAUCCAGCGACGCCGCGUGUGUGAAGAAGGCC